rnacentral:rRNA from 1 species
GAUCAUGGCUCAGAGUGAACGCUGGCGGAAUGCUUUACACAUGCAAGUCGAACGGCAGCACGGACUUCGGUCUGGUGGCGAGUGGCGAACGGGUGAGUAAUAUAUCGGAACGUGCCCAGUCGUGGGGGAUAACGUAGUGAAAAUUACGCUAAUACCGCAUACGAUCUAAGGAUGAAAGCGGGGGAUCGCAAGACCUCGCGCGAUUGGAGCGGCCGAUAUCAGAUUAGGUAGUUGGUAGGGUAAAGGCCUACCAAGCCAACGAUCUGUAGCUGGUCUGAGAGGACGACCAGCCACACUGGAACUGAGACACGGUCCAGACUCCUACGGGAGGCAGCAGUGGGGAAUUUUGGACAAUGGGCGAAAGCCUGAUCCAGCCACUCCGCGUGCAGGAUGAAGGCCCUCGGGUUGUAAACUGCUUUUGUACAGAACGAAAAGGUCUCUAUUAAUACUAGGGGCUCAUGACGGUACUGUAAGAAUAAGCACCGGCUAACUACGUG